UCGCUAACUCCUCCGAAGGCUUUCGUUCCACUGGCACCAAAUUUGCUCAGGCCAAUCUACACCCCAUGGCCAUCAAAAGUUGUACAAAUCAUGACGCUGCACCCCACGGUUUACGUUCUAGGGGGCGCCAAAGAUAACCCAAAAAUCCACAUUCUUAAAAGUCUUAUAACUUUUUAUUUUUGUCCUCACUGGCCUCCAAGUUUUCUAGGAUGAUGCAAUGUCCAGCCAUCAACACAUUUGUGAAGGAAUUUUUACUCCCCAAAAGAGCGCCCCCCCAUGGCAGGUGAAAAAAGUCCAUUUUUUCUUGUCCCCUAACAUGAAAAUACACAUUGUAGAGUGUCAUGCCUGAACGCUUUGUCAUAUUGACACAGAAUUGGACAAUCACGUGUAUCUCAAUAAGAUCUACGAAAAAGUCAAAGAGCGCGUAUCUGCAUAAUGUACGGUUAAAGGGCUAUUUCGCAUUUUUUGCUGAUCCGCACACAUUGGAAUUUCGCUAACUACUCCGAAGGCUUUCGUUCCACCGGCACCAAAUUUGCUCAGGUCAAUCUACACCCCAUGGCCAUUAAAAGUUGUACAAAUCAUGACGCUGCACCCCACGGUUUAGGUUCUAGGGGGCGCCAAAGAUAACCCAAAAAUCCACAUUCUUAAAAGUCUUAUAACUUUUUAUUUUUGUCCUCACUGACCUCCAAGUUUUCUAGGAUGAUGCAAUGUACAGCCAUCAACACAUUUGUGAAGGAAUUUUUACUCCCCAAAAGAGCGCCCCCCCAUGGCAGGUGAAAAAAGUCCAUUUUUUCUUGUCCCCUAACAUGAAAAUACACAUUGUAGAGUGUCACGCCUGAACGCUUUGUCAUAUUGACACAGAAUUUGACAAUCACGUGUAUCUCAAUAAGAUCUACGAAAAAGUCAAAGAGCGCGUAUCUUUCAAAUGUACGGUUAAAGGGCUAUUUCGCAUUUUUUGCCGAUCCGCACACACUGGAAUUUUGCUAACUCCUCCGAAGGCUUUCGUUCCACCGGCACCAAAUUUGCUCAGGUCAAUCUACACCCCAUGGCCAUUAAAAGUUGUACAAAUCAUGACGCUGCACCCCACGGUUUAGGUUCUAGGGGGCGCCAAAGAUAACCCAAAAAUCCACAUUCUUAAAAGUCUUAUAACUUUUUAUUUUUGUCCUCACUGGCCUCCAAGUUUUCUAGGAUGAUGCAAUGUACAGCCAUCAACACAUUUGUGAAGGAAUUUUUACUCCCCAAAAGAGCGCCCCCCCAUGGCAGGAGAAAAAAGUCCAUUUUUUCUUGUCCCCUAAGGUGAAAACACACAUUGUUGAGUGUCAUGCCUGAACGCUUUGUCAGAUUGACACAAAAUUUGACAAUCACGUGUAUCUCAAUAACAUCUAUGAAAAAGUCAAAGAGCGCGUAUGUGUAUAAUGUACGGUAAAAGGGCUAUUUUGCAUUUUUUGCCGAUUCGCACACAUUGGAAUGUGGCUAACUCCUCCUAAGGCUUUCGUCCCACUGACACCAAAUUUGCUCAGGCCAAUCUACACCCCAUGGCCAUUCAAAGUUGUAAAAAUCAUGACGCUGCACCCCACGGUUUACGUUCUAGGGGGCGCCAAAGAUGACCCAAAUAUACAUUACAGCAGACAAAGUAGUUUUGCCCACUGAGUGGCGCCAAAGGGACUUGUCUAUGGAGACUGGGAGUCACUAUUGGCCGUUUUUGACUACUUUAGAUUUUACCCUUUAUAUUUCCUCUUAAAAUUUUUUUACCUUGCCUUGCCUGGUAUCAUUUUUUUCAGCACAACCUCACCUGUGCGAAUUUACAGUUAUUUUAUCAUUUUCACAUACUGUUUUUACACAAUGGACCCAAAUUCACACACAAAACAUAAUAUCCGAGUGGAAAAAAGUAACAUUUUUACUCUGAAAACCACAAAUAUGUGUGAUGAACUGUUUUUAAAACUUAAACAUCAAAUAAAAAUUUUAAACUUCAAAACAUAUGCAAAUUUUUAACAAAGAACAUAGUAAUUUACCUCUAUUUACAUCAAAAUGCAGGCAAUGGCCCAGGCGUUCUUUGUAAAAUUAUUUACAAAACACUGUAUAGUCUCACAAAUGUCACUUUUUAUUCAUGCCACUACAAAAAAAACAUGAUGUAAAUGAUGCAUGAUGUAAAACAUGAUGUAAAAAACUUGUGUAGAUCCUCCUCUAUGUUAGUCCAUGUGUAAUUUUUCCAUAAUUCUUUGUUUUGUCCAGCAUUUUUGUUAGUGUAACUGCAGAUUGUGCUGACAGUGUCUAUGGCACAAAAACAAUAAAACAAACUGAAAAUGCCUCAACAUGAACCCCUGGUGGUCUCUGAGGGUGAAACCUGCUAACUGCUGCAGCUCUGUCAGCUUCAGUCUCCCCUGCAGAGCUCAGAGCGCAUGUGUGGCUCUGCACCCUUAGCAGCGUUGCUAACUCCUCAGUAAGGAAAGCCUGCUUCAUGUCAGAGUCUCUAAACUCCAGAAGAAGUCGAUAAAAGUCCCUUUCUUUCAAAAAAAAAGUCGUUAGGGGGUCUGAAAAGUCAUUUAAUCUAACAACAAAGUCGCUAGGUUUGCAACUACGUGUCCCAGACUGCAUCCCUGCUGAGAGUCCCUCCAUCCCUUCUCAUGUUGCAGGAAGAACGUAAGCGCCCGCCCCUUGUCAAUCAGUCACCAUAUAAUUUUGGAUUGGUUGUUGUGGUGAAGUUUUCCACCAAUAGGAGAUGUUGUGGUGUGUUUUUUUUUUUUCUUUUGGCAAGCCUUUUCCGCCUGUAAGAGCUGUCGCUAAUGUCUGCAUGCUAUGUUUUCCUGUCUCAUACAGCGCGAUCGAGCGCCGAACGUGAUCAAAAUAAGCAGAAAAAAAGUAUCGCAGACAUAAUUUAUCAUAACUCUGGUUUUAUUUGGCCUAUCAACACAAUUUAAAAACUGGUAUAUAGGUUGAGGUCCUCACUUUUGAGAUAAAUUGAAACGGAGAGUCAACGAGGCUCCGUCUUGCAGCUACAUCCGGCCGCAAACAAAGCUUUGCCACAACGGUUGAACUUCCCAAGUAGCUGAUACCAAGGUCACACAAUCAUGGUGAGCAAAGGUCAAACCAGGCCAGGCACUCACGAGGCUGGCUGUGGCAAGUGUAAGUGAAAGCAACACGCAAUGGCAGGAAGAACAGCAAACACCGAUGAAGGAAAAGGGUCUUUGCAGUGAUGGGCGUCACCAGAGAGGGCGAUGGCCAGAGGGCACGAAUGGGACGGGGAGGCGGUCGCGCUGGGGGCGGCGCGACGCGGCUCUGGCCCGCCAGUGCCCCAACGGGGCCCUAGUUAGGGCCCGAGCGUAGCUGCUAAGCAGCUGCGAGAGCCCUAUUAUUCCCCAAGUGGUUUUUCUUUGUUUCUUUAGGGCCCGAGCGUAGCUGCUAAGCAGCUGCGAGAGCCCUCUUGUUCCUGCAUGUUUCCUUCUUUUUAGGGCCCGAGCCAGCUGCAGAGCAGCCGGGCGUAGGCCCUAUUAUUCCCCAAGUGGUUUUUCUUUGUUUCUUUCUUUCUUUUUUCUUUUUCCUCCCCUUUGAACUGGAAAAUGGCCCACUUCCCACUGGCGAAAACUCAUGAAAUUUGGCAGGACGACCGGGCCUGGUGAAAAAUUUGAUAUUCUGAAGUCGCCAAAACAAUAAAAUGCAAAAUGGCUCCAUAGCGCCCCCUAAGGUGAAAAUUCACACUAUUCACUGUCACGACUGUACGCUUUGUCAAAAUGACACAAAAAUUGACACACACAUGUAUCUCAAUAAGAUCUACAAAAAAGUCAGUGCGGCCGUAUCUGUCAAAAUUACGGUUAAAGGGUUAUUUCGCAUUUUUUGCCGAUCUGCACACAUUGGAAUUUCGCUAACUCCUCCGAAGGCUUUCGUUCCACCGGCACCACAUUUGCUCAGGCCAAUCUACACCCCGUGGCCAUUAAAAGUUAUCAAAAUCAUGACGCUGCACCCCAAGGUUUAGGUUCUAGGGGGCGCCAAAGAUAACACUAAAAUCCACAUAUUUAAAAGUCUUAUAACUUUUUAUUUUUGUCCUCACUGGCCUCCAAGUUUUCUAGGAUGAUGCAAUGUCCAGCCAUCAACACAUUUGUGAAGGAAUUUUUACUCCCCAAAAGAGCGCCCCCCCAUGGCAGGAGAAAAAAGUCCAUUUUUUCUUGUCCCCUAAGGUGAAAAUACACAUUGUUGAGUGUCACGCCUAUACGCUUUGUCAAAAUGACACAAAAAUUGACACACACAUGUAUCUCAAUAAGAUCUACGAAAAAGUCAAUGCGCGCGUAUCUGUCAAAUGUACGGUUAAAGGGUUAUUCCGCAUUUUUUGCCGAUCCGCACACAUUGGAAUGUGGCUAACUCCUCCUAAGGCUUUCGUUCCACCGGCACUACAUUUGCUCAGGCCAAUCUACACCCCAUGGCCAUUAAAAGUUAUCAAAAUCAUGACGCUGCACCCCACGGUUUAGGUUCUAGGGGGCGCCAAAGAUAACCCUAAAAUUCACAUAUUUAAAAGUCUUAUAACUUUUUAUUUUUGUCCUCACUGGCCUCCAAGUUUUCUAGGAUGAUGCAAUGUCCAGCCAUCAACACAUUUGUGAAGGAAGUUUUACUCCCCAAAAGAGCGCCCCCCCAUGGCAGGAGAAAAAAGUCCAUUUUUUCUUGUCCCCUAAGGUGAAAAUACAUAUUGUUGAGAUUCACGCCUAUACGCUUUGUCAUAUUGACACAAAAUUUGACAAUCACGUGCCUUGCCUGGUAUCAUUUUUUUCAGCACAACCUCACCUGUGCGAAUUUACAGUUAUUUUAUCAUGUUGACAUACUGAAUUUACACAAUGGACCCAAAUUCACACACAAAACAUAAAAUCCGAGUGGAAAAAAGUAACAUUUUUACUGUGAAAACCACAAAUAUGUGUGAUGAACUGUUUUUAAAACUUAAACUUCAAAUAAAAAUUGUAAACUUCAAAACAUAUGCAAAUUUUUAACAAAGAACAUAGUGAUUUACCUCUAUUUACAUCAAAAUGCAGGCAAUGGCCCAGGCGUUCUUUGUAAAAUUAUUUACAAAACACUGUAUAGUCUCACAAAUGUCACUUUUUAUUUAUGCCACUACAAAAAAACAUGAUGUAAAUGAUGCAUGAUGUAAAACAUGAUGUAAAAAACUUGUGUAGAUCCUCCUGUAUGUCAGUCCAUGUGUAAUUUUUCCAUAAUUCUUUGUUUUUUGCAGCAUUUUUGUUAGUGUAACUGCAGAUUGUGCUGACAGUGUCUAUGGCACAAAAAAAAAAAAAAUUAAAAUGCCUCAACAUGAACCCCUGGUGGUCUCUGAGGGUGAAACCUGCUAACUGCUGCAGCUCUGUCAGCUUCAGUCUCCCAUGCAGAGCUCUGAGCGCAUGUGUGGCUCUGCACCCUUAGCAGCGUUGCUAACUCCUCAGUAAGGAAAGCCUGCUUCAUGUCAGAGUCUCUAAACUCCAGAAGUCGAUAAAAGUCCCUUUAUUUCUAAAAAAAAGUCGUUAGGGGGUCUGAAAAGUCAUUGAAUCUAACAACAAAGUCGCUAGGUUUGCAACUACGUGUCCCAGACUGCAUCCCUGCUGAGAGUCCCUCCCUCCCUUCUCAUGUUGCAGGAAGAACGUAAGCGCCCGCCCCUUGUCAAUCAGUCACCAUAUAAUUUUGGAUUGGUUGUUGUGGUGAAGUUUUCCACCAAUAGGAGAGAUGUUGUGGUGUGUUUUUUUUUCUUUUGGCAAGCCUUUUCCGCCUGUAAGAGCUGUCGCUAAUGUCUGCAUGCUAUGUUUUCCUGUCUCAUACAGCGCGAUCGAGUGCCGAACGUGAUCAAAAUAAGCAGAAAAAAAGUAUCGCGGACAUAAUUUAUCAUAACUCUGGUUUUAUUUGGCCUAUCAACACAAUUUAAAAACUGGUAUAUAGGUUGAGGUCCUCACUUUUGAGAUAAGUUGAAACGGAGAGUCAACGAGGCUCCGUCUUGCAGCUACAUCCGGUUAAAUAUGUCAUGUGACUUGAACGCACACACAGACACACACACGCACACACACACACACACACACACACACACACACACUCAGAGUCUGGUUUUUAGCACCUGCAAAAACAUGCUAUUUACAUAUUUGACAAGAAUGCAGAGGCUCCUUUUGCCCCUGAAAAAAAUCAAAUUUCAAACACAACUUGACUGGUCAUUUCUCCAAAAGACAACCAUGAAGCUCCAUCCAAACCUGAAGCAGGCAGUUGGUGCAUGUGUACAGUAACCUGAGGGGAGUGAGGUGAGUGCUUCUGAGGAGAACAUGAGCAGUGAAGAUUCACCUUGGAGCUAGAACAGAGACAUGCACAUGAUUAUACAGGGGCAGGGGCUCAAGUUUUUUCCAGUCGUUUAUACAAUAUGGAAAUUAAUGUGAAAUUAAAACACAAAGUAUUAAUAGAAAGGUAAUGACUGUCCUGUGUAGGUGACAGUGAUAUCCAAUAGGCUAGGCACUCACGAGGCUGGCUGUGGCAAGUGUAAGUGAAAGCAACACGCACUGGCAGGAAGAACAGCAAACGCCGAUGAAGGAAAAGGGUCUUUGCAGUGAUGGGCGUUACCAGAGAGGGCGAUGGCCAGAGGACACAAAUGGGACGGGGAGGCAGCACGUGGGGGGGGGGACGCGACACGGCUCGGGCCCGCCAGUGCCCCAACGGGGUCCUAGUUAGGGCCCGAGCGUAGCUGCUAAGCAGCUGCGAGAGCCCUAUUAUUCCUGAUGGAUUCUUCUUUCUUCUUCUUCUUCUUAUUAUUUUUCUGCCCCUUUGAACUGGAAAAUGGCCCACUUCCCACUGGUGAAAAGUCAUGAAAUUUGGCAGGACGACCGGGCCUGGUGAAAAAUUUGAUAUUCUGAAGUCGCCCAAAAAAUCAAAUGCAAAAUGGCUCCAUAGCGCCCCCUAAGGUGAAAAAUUCACAUGAUUGAGUGUCACGCCUGUACGCUUUGUCAAAAUGACACAAAAUUUGACACACACGUGUAUCUCAAUAAGAUCUACAAAAAAGUCAGUGCGGGCGUAUCUGUCAAAUGUACGGUUAAAGGGCUAUUUCGCAUUUUUUGCCGAUCCGCACACAUUGGAAUUUCGCUAACUCCUCCGAAGGCUUUCGUUCCACCGGCACCAAAUUUGCUCAGGCCAAUCUACACCCCAUGGCCAUUAAAAGUUGUACAAAUCAUGACGCUGCAUCCCACGGUUUACGUUCUAGGGGGCGCCAAAGAUAACCCAGAAAUCCACAUUCUUAAAAGUCGUAUAACUUUUUAUUUUUGUCCUCACUGGCCUCCAAGUUUUCUAGGAUGAUGCAAUGUCCAGCCAUCAACACAUUUGUGAAGGAAUUUUUACUCCCCAAAAGAGCGCCCCCCAUGGCAGGAGAAAAAAGUCCAUUUUUUCUUGUCUCCUAAGGCGAAAAUUCACACUAUUGACUGUCACGCCUUUACGCUUUGUCAUAUUGACACAAAAAUUGACACACACAUGUAUCUCAAUAAGAUCUACAAAAAAGUCAGUGCGGGCGUAUCUGUCAAAUGUACGGUGAAAGGGCUAUUUCGCAUUUUUUGCCGAUCCGCACACAUUGGAAUUUCGCUAACUCCUCCGAAGGCUUUCGUUCCAAAGGCACCACAUUUGCUGAGGCCAAUCUACACCCCAUGGCCAUUAAAAGUUGUACAAAUCAUGACGCUGCACCCCACGGUUUACGUUCUAGGGGGCGCCAAAGAUAACCCAAAAAUCCACAGUCUUAAAAGUCUUAUAACUUUUUAUUUUUGUCCUCACUGGCCUCCAAGUUCUCUAGGAUGAUGCAAUGUCCAGCCAUCAACACAUUUGUGAAGGAAUUUUUACUCGCCAAAAGAGCGCCCCCCCAUGGCAGGAGAAAAAAGUCCAUUUUUUCUUGUCUCCUAAGGCGAAAAUACACAUUGUUGACUGUCACGCCUUUACGCUUUGUCAAAAUGACACAAAAUUUGACACACACAUGUAUCUCAAUAAGAUCUACAAAAAAGUCAGUGCGGGCGUAUCUGUCAAAUGUACGGUUAAAGGGUUAUUUCGCAUUUUUUGCCGAUCCGCACACAUUGGAAUUUCGCUAACUCCUCCUAAAUCUUUUGUCCCAUCGGCUUCAAAUUUGCUCAGGUCAAUCUACACCCCAUGGCCAUUCAAAGUUGUACAAAUCAUGACGCUGCACCCCACAGUUUACGUUCUAGGGGGCGCCAAAGAGGACCCAAAUAUCCACAUUUUUAAAAGUCUUAUAACUUUUUAUUUUUGUCCUCACUGGCCUCCAAGUUUUCUAGGAUGAUGCAAUGUCCAGCCAUCAACACAUUUGUGAAGGAAUUUUUUCUCCCCAAAAGAGCGCCCCCCAUGGCAGGAGAAAAAGUCAAGUUUUUCCUGCCCAUCGCUCAAUGGCUCAAACGCAUCGCUCUCUCUGCAAAACCGAAAGGAGGAGCAACUUGCCAUUUGGAUAUAUACUAGCUGUGUUUGUGCCCUCACUCAUGGUCCAGACUUUUUUCAAAUAGGACAUGUAGUUUGUCUGCAGCGAGCGUUUUGGUAGAAACUGCGCCUCCCAUUCAUUAUAAUGGGAAAUGACCACAGACAAGUGCGCACACCAUCUUUGGACCUUGAGUGUGACGCGAUCGGGAGGGGGAGGCGGUCGCGCUGGGGGCGGCGCGACGCGGCUCGGGCCCGACAGUGCCCCACCGGGGCCCUAGUGUUAUUAUUUUUCCUCCGCUUUAAACUGGAAAAUGGCCCACUUCCCACUGGCGAAAACUCAGGAAAUUUGGCAGGACGACCGGGCCUGGUGAAAAAUUCGAUAUUCUGAAGUAGCCCAAACAAUAAAAUGCAAAAUGGCUCCAUAGCGCCCCCUAAGGUGAAAAUUCACAUGACGGCUGUACGCUUUGUCAUAUUGACACAAAAAUUGACACACACAUGUAUCUCAAUAAGAUCUACAAAAAAGUCAGUGCGGGCGUAUCUGUCAAAUGUAUGGUUAAUGGGUUAUUUUGCAUUUUUUGCAGAUCUGCACACAUUGGAAUUUCGCUAACUCCUCCGAAGGCUUUCGUUCGACCGGCACCACAUUUGCGCAGGCCAAUCUACCCCCCAUGGCCAUUAAAAGUUGUACAAAUCAUGACGCUGCACCCCACGGUUUACGUUCUAGGGGGCGCCAAAGAUAACCCAAAAUCCACAUUCUUAAAAGUCUUAUAACUUUUUAUUUUUGUCCUCACUGCCCUCCAAGUUUUCUAGGAUGAUGCAAUGUCCAGCCAUCAACACAUUUGUGAAGGAAUUUUUACUCCCCAAAAGAGCGCCCCCCCAUGGCAGGAGAAAAAAGUCAAUUUUUUCUUGUCCCCAUACAUGAAAAUACACAUUGUUGAGUGUCAUGCCUGAACGCUUUGUCAUAUUGACACAAAAAUUGACAAUCACGUGUAUCUCAAUUAGAUCUACAAAAAAGUCAAAAAGGUCGUAUCUGUAUAAUGUACGGUUAAAGGGCUAUUUCGCAUUUUUUGCCGAUUCGCACACAUUGGAAUGUGGCUAUCUCCUCCUAAGGCUUUCGUCCCACCGAUACCAAAUUUGCUCAGGGCAAUCUACACCCCAUGCCCAUUCAAAGUUGUAAAAAUCAUGACGCUGCACCCCACGGUUUACGUUCUAGGGGGCACCAAAGAUGACCCAAAAAUCCACAUUCUUAAAAGUCAUUUUGGCCACUGCAGGAGUACAGAGUACUGCAGUUCUAGGGGGCGCCAAAGAUGACCCAAAAAUCCACAUUCUUAAAAGUCUUUUUGGCCACUGCAGGAGUACAGAGUACUGCAGGAUACACACACAUACACACACACACACGCACACACACACACACACACAGAGUCUGGUUUUUAGCACCUGCAAAAACAUGCUAUUUACAUAUUUGACAAGAAUGCAGAGGCUCCUUUUGCCCCUGAAAAAAAUCAAAUUUCAAACACAACUUGACUGGUCAUUUCUCCAAAAGACAACCAUGAAGCUCCAUCCAAACCUGAAGCAGGCAGUUGGUGCAUGUGUACAGUAACCUGAGGGGAGUGAGGUGAGUGCUUCUGAGGAGAACAUGAGCAGUGAAGAUUCACCUUGGAGCUAGAACAGAGACAUGCACAUGAUUAUACAGGGGCAGGGGCUCAAGUUUUUUCCAGUCGUUUAUACAAUAUGGAAAUUAAUGUGAAAUUAAAACACAAAGUAUUAAUAGAAAGGUGAUGACUGUCCUGUGUAGGUGACAGUGAUAUCCAAUAGGCUAGGCACUCACGAGGCUGGCUGUGGCAAGUGUAAGUGAAAGCAACACGCACUGGCAGGAAGAACAGCAAACGCCGAUGAAGGAAAAGGGUCUUUGCAGUGAUGGGCGUUACCAGAGAGGGCGAUGGCCAGAGGACACAAAUGGGACGGGAAGGCAGCACGUUGGGGGGGUGGGGGGACGCGACACGGCUCGGGCCCGCCAGUGCCCCAACGGGGUCCUAGUUCUUUCUUCUUUCUUUCUUUCUUUCUUUAGGGCCCGAGCGUAGCUGCUAAGCAGCUGCGAGAGCCCUCUUGUUCCUGAUGGAUUCUUCUUUCGUUAUUUUUCCUCCGCUUUAAACUGGAAAAUGGCCCACUUCCCACUGGCGAAAACUCAGGAAAUUUGGCAGGACGACCGGGCCUGGUGAAAAAUUCGAUAUUCUGAAGUCGCCCAAACAAAAAAAUGAAAAAUGGCUCCAUAGCGCCCCCUAUGGUGAAAACUCACCUGACGCCUGUACGCUUUGUCAAAAUGACACAAAAUUUGACACACAUGUGUAUCUCAAUAAGAUCUACGAAAAAGUCAGUGCGGGCGCAUCUGUGAAAUGUACGGUUAGAGGGUUAUUUCGCAUUUUUUGCAGAUCUGCACACAUUGGAAUUUCGCUAACUCCUCCGAAGGCAUUCGUUCCACCGGCACCACAUUUGCUCAGGCCAAUCUACACCCCAUGGCCAUUAAAAGUUGUACAAAUCAUGACGCUGCACCCCACGGUUUACGUUCUAGGGGGCGCCAAAGAUGACCCACAAAUCCACAUUCUUAAAAAUCUUAUAACUUUUUAUUUUUGUCCUCAUUGGCCUCCAAGUUUUCUAGGAUGAUGCAAUGUCCAGCCAUCAACACAUUUGUGAAGGAAUUUUUACUCCCCAAAACAGCGCCCCCCCAUGGCAGGACAAAAAAGGCCAUUUUUUCUUGUCCCCUAAGGUGAAAAUACACAUUGUUCAGUGUCACGCCUAUACGCUUUGUCAUAUUGACACAAAAUUUGACACACACGUGUAUCUCAAUAAGAUCUACGAAAAAGUCAAUGGGCACAUAUCUGUAAAAUGUACGGUUAAAGGGCUAUCUUGCAUUUUUUGCCGAUUCGCACACAUUAGAAUGUGGCUAACUCCUCCUAAGGCUUUCGUUCUACUGACACCAAAUUUGCUCAGGCCAAUCUACACCCCAUGGCCAUUCAAAGUUGUACAAAUCAUGACGCUGCACCCCACGGUUUAGGUUCUAGGGGGCGCCAAAGAUGACCCAAAUAUCCACAUUUUUAAAAGUCUUAUAACUUUUUAUUUUUGUCCUCACUGGCCUCCAAGUUUUCUAGGAUGAUGCAAUGUGCAGCCAUCAACACAUCUGUGAAGGAAUUUUUUCUCCCCAAAAGAGCGCCCCCCCCCCCAUGGCAGGAGAAAAAGUCAAGUUUUUCCAGCCCAUCGCUUAAUGGCUCAAACGCAUUGCUCUCCCGCUAAAACCAAAAGGAGGAGCAACUUGCCAUUUGGAUAUGUCCUAGCUGUGUUUGUGCCCUCACUCAUGGUCCAGAGUUUUUUCAAAUAGGACAUGUAGUUUGUCUGCAGCGAGCGUUUUGGUAGAAACUGUGCCUCCCAUUCAUUAUAAUGGGAAAUGACCAAAGACAGGUGCGCACACCAUCUUUGGACCUUGACUUUGACGUCACAGUUUGAGAUACAAAUGUUAUUUGACCUCUGACCUUUGGUGGACACCCUAACCUUUCAACCCGCGAAAACGGCGUUUCAAUAGCUCUUACGGCUUUCCUACAAAUACACUUUGUUCAGCUACUCCUACUGUCCUUUAAGCUCUGCUUCUCAGAUCAUCAAAGAGUGUGCACGUGUGUAAUGAGCGCAUAUUGAAUGUUAAUUAUGUUAAAUAUGUUAAUUAUUAGAAGAAAAAACAACAACAGUCCUUUUGGACAAAAUUUCUUUUUAUUACAGAAUUAGAAUAAUGGAAGCAUAGUCCAAGGAAACCAUUCAAGUGAUGUCAUACCUCAUAAUUUAUUGAGAUGUUGGCUAGUCUGGGCAUUUCUUCAUUCAUCAGGUUUCCUGCAUGCAUACUAACAGAGCACAUCAGUAGCAGUGAGUGAUAAGUAUGAGUGUGUCAUUGUGUAAGAAAGAAAGUGGUUUACUUACACAUCCAUAGAAAAUAGGUGGUUGAGCACAGCACGCAAACAAAGCUUUGCCACAACGGUUGAACUUCCCAAGUAGCUGAUACCAAGGUCACACAAUCAUGGUGAGCAAAGGUCAAACCAGGCCAGGCACUCACGAGGCUGGCUGUGGCAAGUGUAAGUGAAAGCAACACGCAAUGGCAGGAAGAACAGCAAACACCGAUGAAGGAAAAGGGUCUUUGCAGUGAUGGGCGUCACCAGAGAGGGCGAUGGCCAGAGGGCACGAAUGGGACGGGGAGGCGGUCGCGCUGGGGGCGGCGCGACGCGGCUCGGGCCCGACAGUGCCCCAACGGGGCCCUAGUUCUUUCUUUCUUUCUUCUUUUUCCUCCCCUUUGAACUGGAAAAUGGCCCACUUCCCACUGGCGAAAACUCAUGAAAUUUGGCAGGACGACCGGGCCUGGUGAAAAAUUCGAUAUUCUGAAGUCGCCCAAACAAUAAAAUGCAAAAUGGCUCCAUAGCGCCCCCUAAGGUGGAAAUUCACACUAUUGACUGUCACGCCUGUACGCUUUGUCAUAUUGACACAAAAAUUGACACACAUAUGUAUCUCAAUAAGAUCUACAAAAAAGUCAGUGCGGCCGUAUCUGUCAAAUGUACGGUUAAAGGGUUAUUUCGCAUUUUUUUCCGAUCCGCACACAUUGGAAUUUCGCUAACUCCUCCGAAGGCUUUCGUUCCACCGGCACCACAUUUGCUCAGGCCAAUCUACACCCCGUGGCCAUUAAAAGUUAUCAAAAUCAUGAUGCUGCACCCCAAGGUUUAGGUUCUAGGGGGCGCCAAAGAUAACACUAAAAUCCACAUAUUUAAAAGUCUUAUAACUUUUUAUUUUUGUCCUCACUGGCCUCCAAGUUUUCUAGGAUGAUGCAAUGUCCAGCCAUCAACACAUUUAUGAAGGAAUUUUUACUCCCCAAAAGAGCGCCCCCCCAUGGCAGGAGAAAAAAGUCCAUUUUUUCUUGUCCCCUAAGGUGAAAAUACAUAUUGUUGAGAUUCACGCCUAUACGCUUUGUCAUAUUGACACAAAAUUUGACAAUCACGUGCCUUGCCUGGUAUCAUUUUUUUCAGCACAACCUCACCUGUGCGAAUUUACAGUUAUUUUAUCAUGUUGACAUACUGAAUUUACACAAUGGACCCAAAUUCACACACAAAACAUAAAAUCCGAGUGGAAAAAAGUAACAUUUUUACUGUGAAAACCACAAAUAUGUGUGAUGAACUGUUUUUAAAACUUAAACUUCAAAUAAAAAUUGUAAACUUCAAAACAUAUGCAAAUUUUUAACAAAGAACAUAGUGAUUUACCUCUAUUUACAUCAAAAUGCAGGCAAUGGCCCAGGCGUUCUUUGUAAAAUUAUUUACAAAACACUGUAUAGUCUCACAAAUGUCACUUUUUAUUUAUGCCACUACAAAAAAACAUGAUGUAAAUGAUGCAUGAUGUAAAACAUGAUGUAAAAAACUUGUGUAGAUCCUCCUCUAUGUCAGUCCAUGUGUAAUUUUUCCAUAAUUCUUUGUUUUUUGCAGCAUUUUUGUUAGUGUAACUGCAGAUUGUGCUGACAGUGUCUAUGGCACAAAAAAAAAAAAAAUUAAAAUGCCUCAACAUGAACCCCUGGUGGUCUCUGAGGGUGAAACCUGCUAACUGCUGCAGCUCUGUCAGCUUCAGUCUCCCAUGCAGAGCUCUGAGCGCAUGUGUGGCUCUGCACCCUUAGCAGCGUUGCUAACUCCUCAGUAAGGAAAGCCUGCUUCAUGUCAGAGUCUCUAAACUCCAGAAGAAGUCGAUAAAAGUCCCUUUCUUUCUAAAAAAAGUCGUUAGGGGGUCUGAAAAGUCAUUGAAUCUAACAACAAAGUCGCUAGGUUUGCAACUACGUGUCCCAGACUGCAUCCCUGCUGAGAGUCCCUCCCUCCCUUCUCAUGUUGCAGGAAGAACGUAAGCGCCCGCCCCUUGUCAAUCAGUCACCAUAUAAUUUUGGAUUGGUUGUUGUGGUGAAGUUUUACACCAAUAGGAGAGAUGUUGUGGUGUGUUUUUUUUUCUUUUGGCAAGCCUUUUCCGCCUGUAAGACCUGUCGCUAAUGUCUGCAUGCUAUGUUUUCCUGUCUCAUACAGCGCGAUCGAGCGCCGAACGUGAUCAAAAUAAGCAGAAAAAAAGUAUCGCGGACAUAAUUUAUCAUAACUCUGGUUUUAUUUGGCCUAUCAACACAAUUUAAAAACUGGUAUAUAGGUUGAGGUCCUCACUUUUGAGAUAAGUUGAAACGGAGAGUCAACGAGGCUCCGUCUUGCAGCUACAUCCGGUUAAAUAUGUCAUGUGACUUGAACGCACACACAGACACACACACACGCACACACACACACACACACACACACACACUCAGAGUCUGGUUUUUAGCACCUGCAAAAACAUGCUAUUUACAUAUUUGACAAGAAUGCAGAGGCUCCUUUUGCCCCUGAAAAAAAUCAAAUUUCAAACACAACUUGACUGGUCAUUUCUCCAAAAGACAACCAUGAAGCUCCAUCCAAACCUGAAGCAGGCAGUUGGUGCAUGUGUACAGUAACCUGAGGGGAGUGAGGUGAGUGCUUCUGAGGAGAACAUGAGCAGUGAAGAUUCACCUUGGAGCUAGAACAGAGACAUGCACAUGAUUAUACAGGGGCAGGGGCUCAAGUUUUUUCCAGUCGUUUUUACAAUAUGGAAAUUAAUGUGAAAUUAAAACACAAAGUAUUAAUAGAAAGGUAAUGACUGUCCUGUGUAGGUGACAGUGAUAUCCAAUAGGCUAGGCACUCACGAGGCUGGCUGUGGCAAGUGUAAGUGAAAGCAACACGCACUGGCAGGAAGAACAGCAAACGCCGAUGAAGGAAAAGGGACUUUGCAGUGAUGGGCGUUACCAGAGAGGGCGAUGGCCAGAGGACACAAAUGGGACGGGGAGGCAGCACGUUGGGGGGGGGGGGGGGGGUGGGGCGACACGGCUCGGGCCCGCCAGUGCCCCAACGGGGUCCUAGUUCUUUCUUCUUUCUUUCUUUCUUUCUUUAGGGCCCGAGCGUAGCUGCUAAGCAGCUGCGAGAGCCCUCUUGUUCCUGAUGGAUUCUUCUUUUGUUAUUAUUUAUUAGGGCCCGAGCCAGCUGCAGAGCAGCCGGGCGUAGGCCCUAUUAUUCCCCAAGUGGUUUUUCUUUGUUUCUUUCUUUCUUAGGGCCCGAGCGUAGCUGCUAAGCAGCUGCGAGAGCCCUCUUGUUCCUGCAUGUUUCCUUCUUUUGUUAUUUAUUAUUAGGGCCCGAGCGUAGCUGCUAAGCAGCUGCGAGAGCCCUCUUGUUCCUGCAUGUUUCCUUCUUUUGUUAUUAUUAUUAGGGCCCGAGCCAGCUGCAGAGCAGCCGGGCGUAGGCCCUAUUAUUCCCCAAGUGGUUUUUCUUUGUUUCUUUCUUUCUUUUUUCUUUUUCCUCCCCUUUGAACUGGAAAAUGGCCCACUUCCCACUGGCGAAAACUCAUGAAAUUUGGCAGGAUGACCGGGCCUGGUGAAAAAUUUGAUAUUCUGAAGUCGCCCAAACAAUAAAAUGCAAAAUGGCUCCAUAGCGCCCCCUAAGGUGAAAAUUCACACUAUUGACUGUCACGCCUGUACGCUUUGUCAUAUUGACACAAAAAUUGACACACAUAUGUAUCUCAAUAAGAUCUACAAAAAAGUCAGUGCGGCCGUAUCUGUCAAAAUUACGGUUAAAGGGUUAUUUCGCAUUUUUUGCCGAUCCGCACACAUUGGAAUUUCGCUAACUCCUCCGAAGGCUUUCGUUCCACCGGCACCACAUUUGCUCAGGCCAAUCUACACCCCGUGGCCAUUAAAAGUUAUCAAAAUCAUGACGCUGCACCCCAAGGUUUAGGUUCUAGGGGGCGCCAAAGAUAACACUAAAAUCCACAUAUUUAAAAGUCUUAUAACUUUUUAUUUUUGUCCUCACUGGCCUCCAAGUUUUCUAGGAUGAUGCAAUGUCCAGCCAUCAACACAUUUGUGAAGGAAUUUUUACUCCCCAAAAGAGCGCCCCCCCAUGGCAGGAGAAAAAAGUCCAUUUUUUCAUGUCCCCUAAGGUGAAAAUACACAUUGUUGAGUGUCACGCCUAUACGCUUUGUCAAAAUGACACAAAAAUUGACACACACAUGUAACUCAAUAAGAUCUACGAAAAAGUCAAUGCGCCCGUAUCUGUCAAAUGUACGGUUAAAGGGUUAUUCCGCAUUUUUUGCCGAUCCGCACACAUUGGAAUUUCGCUAACUCCUCCUAAGGCUUUCGUUCCACCGGCACCACAUUUGCUCAGGCCAAUCUACACCCCAUGGCCAUUAAAAGUUAUCAAAAUCAUGACGCUGCACCCCACGGUUUAGGUUCUAGGGGGCGCCAAAGAUAACCCUAAAAUCCACAUAUUUAAAAGUCUUAUAACUUUUUAUUUUUGUCCUCACUGGCCUCCAAGUUUUCUAGGAUGAUGCAAUGUCCAGCCAUCAACACAUUUGUGAAGGAAUUUUUACUCCCCAAAAGAGCGCCCCCCCAUGGCAGGAGAAAAAAGUCAAUUUUUGUCUUGUCCCUUAAGGUGAAAAUACAUAUUGUUGAGAUUCACGCCUAUAUGCUUUGUCAUAUUGACACAAAAUUUGACAAUCACGUGCCUUGCCUGGUAUCAUUUUUUUCAGCACAACCUCACCUGUGCGAAUUUACAGUUAUUUUAUCAUGUUGACAUACUGAAUUUACACAAUGGACCCAAAUUCACACACAAAACAUAAAAUCCGAGUGGAAAAAAGUAACAUUUUUACUGUGAAAACCACAAAUAUGUGUGAUGAACUGUUUUUAAAACUUAAACUUCAAAUAAAAAUUGUAAACUUCAAAACAUAUGCAAAUUUUUAACAAAGAACAUAGUGAUUUACCUCUAUUUACAUCAAAAUGCAGGCAAUGGCCCAGGCGUUCUUUGUAAAAUUAUUUACAAAACACUGUAUAGUCUCACAAAUGUCACUUUUUAUUUAUGCCACUACAAAAAAACAUGAUGUAAAUGAUGCAUGAUGUAAAACAUGAUGUAAAAAACUUGUAUAGAUCCUCCUCUAUGUCAGUCCAUGUGUAAUUUUUCCAUAAUUCUUUGUUUUUUGCAGCAUUUUUGUUAGUGUAACUGCAGAUUGUGCUGACAGUGUCUAUGGCACAAAAAAAAAAAAAAAAUUAAAAUGCCUCAACAUGAACCCCUGGUGGUCUCUGAGGUUGAAACCUGCUAACUGCUGCAGCUCUGUCAGCUUCAGUCUCCCAUGCAGAGCUCUGAGCGCAUGUGUGGCUCUGCACCCUUAGCAGCGUUGCUAACUCCUCAGUAAGGAAAGCCUGCUUCAUGUCAGAGUCUCUAAACUCCAGAAGAAGUCGAUAAAAGUCCCUUUCUUUCUAAAAAAAAGUCGUUAGGGGGUCUGAAAAGUCAUUGAAUCUAACAACAAAGUCGCUAGGUUUGCAACUACGUGUCCCAGACUGCAUCCCUGCUGAGAGUCCCUCCCUCCCUUCUCAUGUUGCAGGAAGAACGUAAGCGCCCGCCCCUUGUCAAUCAGUCACCAUAUAAUUUUGGAUUGGUUGUUGUGGUGAAGUUUUCCACCAAUAGGAGAGAUGUUGUGGUGUGUUUUUUUUUUCUUUUGGCAAGCCUUUUCCGCCUGUAAGAGCUGUCGCUAAUGUCUGCAUGCUAUGUUUUCCUGUCUCAUACAGCGCGAUCGAGCGCCGAACGUGAUCAAAAUAAGCAGAAAAAAAGUAUCGCGGACAUAAUUUAUCAUAACUCUGGUUUUAUUUGGCCUAUCAACACAAUUUAAAAACUGGUAUAUAGGUUGAGGUCCUCACUUUUGAGAUAAGUUGAAACGGAGAGUCAACGAGGCUCCGUCUUGCAGCUACAUCCGGUUAAAUAUGUCAUGUGACUUGAACGCACACACAGACACACACACACGCACACACACACACACACACACACACACACACACACACACACACACACACACACACACACACACACACACACACUCAGAGUCUGGUUUUUAGCACCUGCAAAAACAUGCUAUUUACAUAUUUGACAAGAAUGCAGAGGCUCCUUUUGCCCCUGAAAAAAAUCAAAUUUCAAACACAACUUGACUGCUCAUUUCUCCAAAAGACAACCAUGAAGCUCCAUCCAAACCUGAAGCAGGCAGUUGGUGCAUGUGUACAGUAACCUGAGGGGAGUGAGGUGAGUGCUUCUGAGGAGAACAUGAGCAGUGAAGAUUCACCUUGGAGCUAGAACAGAGACAUGCACAUGAUUAUACAGGGGCAGGGGCUCAAGUUUUUUCCAGUCGUUUAUACAAUAUGGAAAUUAAUGUGAAAUUAAAACACAAAGUAUUAAUAGAAAGGUAAUGACUGUCCUGUGUAGGUGACAGUGAUAUCCAAUAGGCUAGGCACUCACGAGGCUGGCUGUGGCAAGUGUAAGUGAAAGCAACACGCACUGGCAGGAAGAACAGCAAACGCAGAUGAAGGAAAAGGGUCUUUGCAGUGAUGGGCGUUACCAGAGAGGGCGAUGGCCAGAGGACACAAAUGGGACGGGGAGGCAGCACGUUGGGGGGGGGGGGGGACGCGACACGGCUCGGGCCCGCCAGUGCCCCAACGGGGUCCUAGUUAUUUUUCCUCCCCUUUGAACUGGAAAAUGGCCCACUUCCCACUGGCGAAAACUCAUGAAAUUUGGCAGGACGACCGGGCCUGGUGAAAAAUUUGAUAUUCCGAAGUCGCCCAAACAAGAAAAUGCAAAAUGGCUCCAUAGCGCCCCCUAAGGUGAAAAUUCACACUAUUGACUGUCACGCCUGUACGCUUUGUCAAAAUGACACAAAAAUUGACACACACAUGUAUCUCAAUAAGAUCUACAAAAAAGUCAGUGCGGGCGUAUCUGUCAAAUAUACGGUUAAAGGGUUAUUUCGCAUUUUUUGCCGAUCCGCACACAUUGGAAUUUCGCUAACUCCUCCGAAGGCUUUCGUUCCACCGGCACCACAUUUGCUCAGGCCAAUCUACACCCCGUGGCCAUUAAAAGUUAUCAAAAUCAUGACGCUGCACCCCAAGGUUUAGGUUCUAGGGGGCGCCAAAGAUAACACUAAAAUCCACAUAUUUAAAAGUCUUAUAACUUUUUAUUUUUGUCCUCACUGGCCUCCAAGUUUUCUAGGAUGAUGCAAUGUCCAGCCAUCAACACAUUUGUGAAGGAAUUUUUACUCCCCAAAAGAGCGCCCCCCCAUGGCAGGAGAAAAAAGUCCAUUUUUUCUUGUCCCCUAAGGUGAAAAUACACAUUGUUGAGUGUCACGCCUAUACGCUUUGUCAAAAUGACACAAAAAUUGACACACACAUGUAACUCAAUAAGAUCUACGAAAAAGUCAAUGCGCGCGUAUCUGUCAAAUGUACGGUUAAAGGGUUAUUCCGCAUUUUUUGCCGAUCCGCACACAUUGGAAUGUGGCUAACUCCUCCUAAGGCUUUCGUUCCACCGGCACCACAUUUGCUCAGGACAAUCUACACCCCAUGGCCAUUAAAAGUUAUUCAAAUCAUGACGCUGCACCCCACGGUUUAGGUUCUAGGGGGCGCCAAAGAUAACCCUAAAAUCCACAUAUUUAAAAGUCUUAUAACUUUUUAUUUUUGUCCUCACUGGCCUCCAAGUUUUCUAGGAUGAUGCAAUGUCCAGCCAUCAACACAUUUGUGAAGGAAUUUUUACUCCCCAAAAGAGCGCCCCCCCAUGGCAGGAGAAAAAAGUCCAUUUUUUCUUGUCCCCUAAGGUGAAAAUACAUAUUGUUGAGAUUCACGCCUAUAUGCUUUGUCAUAUUGACACAAAAUUUGACAAUCACGUGCCUUGCCUGGUAUCAUUUUUUUCAGCACAACCUCACCUGUGCGAAUUUACAGUUAUUUUAUCAUGUUGACAUACUGAAUUUACACAAUGGACCCAAAUUCACACACAAAACAUAAAAUCCGAGUGGAAAAAAGUAACAUUUUUACUGUGAAAACCACAAAUAUGUGUGAUGAACUGUUUUUAAAACUUAAACUUCAAAUAAAAAUUGUAAACUUCAAAACAUAUGCAAAUUUUUAACAAAGAACAUAGUGAUUUACCUCUAUUUACAUCAAAAUGCAGGCAAUGGCCCAGGCGUUCUUUGUAAAAUUAUUUACAAAACACUGUAUAGUCUCACAAAUGUCACUUUUUAUUUAUGCCACUACAAAAAAACAUGAUGUAAAUGAUGCAUGAUGUAAAACAUGAUGUAAAAAACUUGUGUAGAUCCUCCUCUAUGUCAGUCCAUGUGUAAUUUUUCCAUAAUUCUUUGUUUUUUGCAGCAUUUUUGUUAGUGUAACUGCAGAUUGUGCUGACAGUGUCUAUGGCACAAAAAAAAUAAAUAAAUAAAAUGCCUCAACAUGAACCCCUGGUGGUCUCUGAGGGUGAAACCUGCUAACUGCUGCAGCUCUGUCAGCUUCAGUCUCCCAUGCAGAGCUCUGAGCGCAUGUGUGGCUCUGCACCCUUAGCAGCGUUGCUAACUCCUCAGUAAGGAAAGCCUGCUUCAUGUCAGAGUCUCUAAACUCCAGAAGAAGUCGAUAAAAGUCCCUUUCUUUCUAAAAAAAAGUCGUUAGGGGGUCUGAAAAGUCAUUGAAUCUAACAACAAAGUCGCUAGGUUUGCAACUACGUGUCCCAGACUGCAUCCCUGCUGAGAGUCCCUCCCUCCCUUCUCAUGUUGCAGGAAGAACGUAAGCGCCCGCCCCUUGUCAAUCAGUCACCAUAUAAUUUUGGAUUGGUUGUUGUGGUGAAGUUUUCCACCAAUAGGAGAGAUGUUGUGGUGUGUUUUUUUUUUUCUUUGGCAAGCCUUUUCCGCCUGUAAGACCUGUCGCUAAUGUCUGCAUGCUAUGUUUUCCUGUCUCAUACAGCGCGAUCGAGCGCCGAACGUGAUCAAAAUAAGCAGAAAAAAAGUAUCGCGGACAUAAUUUAUCAUAACUCUGGUUUUAUUUGGCCUAUCAACACAAUUUAAAAACUGGUAUAUAGGUUGAGGUCCUCACUUUUGAGAUAAGUUGAAACGGAGAGUCAACGAGGCUCCGUCUUGCAGCUACAUCCGGUUAAAUAUGUCAUGUGACUUGAACGCACACACAGACACACACACACGCACACACACACACACACACACACACACACACACACUCAGAGUCUGGUUUUUAGCACCUGCAAAAACAUGCUAUUUACAUAUUUGACAAGAAUGCAGAGGCUCCUUUUGCCCCUGAAAAAAAUCAAAUUUCAAACACAACUUGACUGGUCAUUUCUCCAAAAGACAACCAUGAAGCUCCAUCCAAACCUGAAGCAGGCAGUUGGUGCAUGUGUACAGUAACCUGAGGGGAGUGAGGUGAGUGCUUCUGAGGAGAACAUGAGCAGUGAAGAUUCACCUUGGAGCUAGAACAGAGACAUGCACAUGAUUAUACAGGGGCAGGGGCUCAAGUUUUUUCCAGUCGUUUAUACAAUAUGGAAAUUAAUGUGAAAUUAAAACACAAAGUAUUAAUAGAAAGGUAAUGACUGUCCUGUGUAGGUGACAGUGAUAUCGAAUAGGCUAGGCACUCACGAGGCUGGCUGUGGCAAGUGUAAGUGAAAGCAACACGCACUGGCAGGAAGAACAGCAAACGCCGAUGAAGGAAAAGGGACUUUGCAGUGAUGGGCGUUACCAGAGAGGGCGAUGGCCAGAGGACACAAAUGGGACGGGGAGGCAGCACGUUGGGGGGGGGGGGGCGACACGGCUCGGGCCCGCCAGUGCCCCAACGGGGUCCUAGUUCUUUCUUCUUUCUUUCUUUCUUUCUUUAGGGCCCGAGCGUAGCUGCUAAGCAGCUGCGAGAGCCCUCUUGUUCCUGAUGGAUUCUUCUUUUGUUAUUAUUUAUUAGGGCCCGAGCCAGCUGCAGAGCAGCCGGGCGUAGGCCCUAUUAUUCCCCAAGUGGUUUUUCUUUGUUUCUUUCUUUCUUAGGGCCCGAGCGUAGCUGCUAAGCAGCUGCGAGAGCCCUCUUGUUCCUGCAUGUUUCCUUCUUUUGUUAUUUAUUAUUAGGGCCCGAGCGUAGCUGCUAAGCAGCUGCGAGAGCCCUCUUGUUCCUGCAUGUUUCCUUCUUUUGUUAUUAUUAUUAUUUUUCCUCCCCUUUGAACUGGAAAAUGGCCCACUUCCCACUGGCGAAAACUCAUGAAAUUUGGCAGGACGACCGGGCCUGGUGAAAAAUUUGAUAUUCCGAAGUCGCCCAAACAAGAAAAUGCAAAAUGGCUCCAUAGCGCCCCCUAAGGUGAAAAUUCACACUAUUGACUGUCACGCCUGUACGCUUUGUCAAAAUGACACAAAAAUUGACACACACAUGUAUCUCAAUAAGAUCUACAAAAAAGUCAGUGCGGGCGUAUCUGUCAAAUAUACGGUUAAAGGGUUAUUUCGCAUUUUUUGCCGAUCCGCACACAUUGGAAUUUCGCUAACUCCUCCGAAGGCUUUCGUUCCACCGGCACCACAUUUGCUCAGGCCAAUCUACACCCCGUGGCCAUUAAAAGUUAUCAAAAUCAUGACGCUGCACCCCAAGGUUUAGGUUCUAGGGGGCGCCAAAGAUAACACUAAAAUCCACAUAUUUAAAAGUCUUAUAACUUUUUAUUUUUGUCCUCACUGGCCUCCAAGUUUUCUAGGAUGAUGCAAUGUCCAGCCAUCAACACAUUUGUGAAGGAAUUUUUACUCCCCAAAAGAGCGCCCCCCCAUGGCAGGAGAAAAAAAGUCCAUUUUUUCUUGUCCCCUAAGGUGAAAAUACACAUUGUUGAGUGUCACGCCUAUACGCUUUGUCAAAAUGACACAAAAAUUGACACACACAUGUAACUCAAUAAGAUCUACGAAAAAGUCAAUGCGCGCGUAUCUGUCAAAUGUACG